UACGUAGGGUGCAAGCGUUGUCCGGAAUUAUUGGGCGUAAAGAGCUCGGUAGGCGGUCUGUCGCGUCGGCUGUGAAAACCUGGGGCUUAACUCCGGGCCUGCAGCCGAUACGGGCAGACUAGAGUUCGGCAGGGGAGACUGGAAUUCCUGGUGUAGCGGUGAAAUGCGCAGAUAUCAGGAGGAACACCGGUGGCGAAGGCGGGUCUCUGGGCCGAAACUGACGCUGAGGAGCGAAAGCGUGGGGAGCAAACAGG
rnacentral:rRNA from 1 species